CAAGAGCAGGAGAGAAAGCCAACCUAGGAUCAAUCCAAAGUUUUGCAGGAGAAACAUCAUCCAGGGUCGUUGUGUUUGAACAUGAGUCAUUUCAGGAAGCUAAAAAAAGAAUAAAAAACCAGAAUAAGAUCCAGAUAUAUUCAACUGCUGGGAAAAGCUUGGUGGGAAAACAUGAGCGACUGUUAUUCAGAACUUAAUAACCUUUAAAAUUCCCAAAACAGUUA
rnacentral:lncRNA from 1 species